rnacentral:tRNA from 1 species
GGGCCCGUAGCUCAGCGGACAGAGCAGCCGCCUUCUAAGCGGUAGGUCGGGGGUUCAAAUCCCUCCGGGCCCGCCA